ACGAGAACAAAAAAUUAAAGCAAGGGAUUGAGAUGAAGCCUUACCUGGCUCUUUUCGUCUUCAUCCUCUUCUCUUCUUUCCCUCUCUUCUUCGCUUCCAGUGAUGGCGACUUCGAUGCUCUACUGAAGCUCAAAGAUGGGCUGAUAGGUCCCGCCGGCGAUGGCCUCCACGACUGGGACCCCUCCANNNNNNNNNNNNNNNNNNNNCCCCGCGCUGGAGGUCCUCGACGCCUGUAACAACAACUUCUCCGGCCGGCUCCCACGUUGCCUCGCCAAGCUCCCCCGCCUCCGCCACCUCCACCUCGGCGGGAACUUCUUCUUCGGAGAGAUCCCGGAGUCAUACGGUGGUAUCGAGAGCCUCGAAUACCUGGGCCUCUAUGGGAACGACCUCUCCGGCCGGGUCCCGGUGAGCUUGAGCCGGCUCACGAAUCUACGGGAGAUGUACAUCGGCUACUACAGCACGUACGAGGGCGGCAUCCCGCCGGAGUUCGGGAUGCUGACCUCGCUGGUCCGGCUCGACAUGGCGAGCUGCAACCUCUCCGGCCCGAUUCCGCCGAGCCUCGGCCGGUUGAAGCUCCUUGACACGCUCUUCUUGCAGUUGAAUUACCUCACCGGCACCAUUCCGCCCGAGCUCGGCGGGCUCGACCAGCUCCAAUCUCUUGAUCUCUCGAUCAACGAGCUCACCGGGGAGUUGCCGGAGAGCUUCGCAGGGUUGAAACAGCUCAAGCUCCUCAAUAUCCUCUGCAACCGCCUCCGCGGCCGCAUCCCGCCCUUCAUAGCCGAUCUCCCGAAUCUUGAGGUGCUCCAGGUCUUCGAGAACAGCUUCACCUUCGAACUUCCAGAAGGGCUCGGUCGGAAUGGCCGACUCGUGAAGCUGGACGUAGCCACGAAUCGCCUCACCGGGACGAUCCCUCCGGACCUCUGCGCCGGCGGCCGGCUCGAGCAGCUCGUUUUGAUGGAGAAUUCGUUCUUCGGACCGAUUCCAGAGAAACUCGGCGAUUGCAAGUCGCUGCUCCACGUCCGGCUCGCCAAGAACCUCUUGAACGGGACGAUCCCUGCCGGGCUGUUCGAUCUCCCCUCCGCCGACAUGCUCGAGCUUAGCGACAACUACUUUUCUGGCCAGCUGCCGGCGAAGAUGGCCGGGGACAAAUUCGCCGAGCUCAUCCUCUCCAACAACUGGCUCUCCGGCCCGAUCCCGUCGGCGAUCGGGAACCUUUGCGGGCUCCAGACCUUAUCUCUGGAGUCAAACCGGCUCUCCGGCGAGAUCCCACCCCAGAUCGGCGAUCUGAAGCAGCUCACCAAGCUUAACCUGCGCGGAAACAACUUGGUCGGAGAAAUCCCUUCUGAUCUCGCCCGGUGCACUGGGACACUCCAGGUCGUCGAUCUCAGCCGCAACGGUCUGACCGGCGAGAUCCCGGCGGCGAUCACGGAGCUCCAGAACCUCAACACACUAAACUUAUCCGGAAACCACCUCUCCGGCGAGAUCCCGUUGCAGAUCCUGCGGAUGCCGAGCUUGACCAUCCUCGAUCUCUCCUACAACAACCUCUCGGGCGAGAUUCCGGUCGAGGGGCAGUUCUUGGCGUUCAACGAGACCUCGUUCAUUGGCAACCCCGACCUCUGCGGUGGCCCGCUGCACGUGCCGCUCCCGUGCGGCUCGACCCGGGGUGGGCCCAGGGCCGUGCGGGCCCGCGGGAAGCGGUUCAUCGCGUGGGUCGUCCCGCCGGUGGGGGUUAUAAUUCCGGUGGGCCUGGCGGUGCUCAAGGGAUGGAAGUCGUGGAGAGGAAAAGGCCGGUCCGGCGCCUGCAAGAUGACGUCGUUCCAGCGGCUUAAUGUCACGGUCGACGACGUCAUGGAGUGCUUGAUAGCGAACGACGUCAUCGGCCAAGGCAGCGCCGGGAUCGUUUACCGUGGGAAUAUGCCGAGCGGCGCCGAUGUGGCGAUCAAGCGGCUGGUUGGGCGCGGCGGAGGAGUGCACGACCGGGGAUUCAAGGCCGAGAUAACAACUCUAGGCCGAAUCCGGCACCGGAAUAUCGUCCGGAUGCUGGGGUUCGUGUCGAACAGGGAGACCAAUUUACUGCUGUAUGAGUACAUGCCGAAUGGGAGCUUGGGGGAGAUGCUGCAUGGGAACAAUGGGGCGCAUCUGGGGUGGGAGGCGCGUUGCCGGAUUGCGGUGGAGGCGGCGAGAGGGCUGUGCUACCUCCACCACGACUGCUCACCGCUCAUCAUCCACCGGGACGUGAAAUCAAAUAAUAUAUUGCUCGACUCCAACUUCGAAGCGCACGUCGCCGACUUCGGCCUCGCCAAGUUUGUUCAGGACCCUGGCGCGUCCAUGUCAUGUAUUGCCGGGACCUACGGCUACAUCGCACCAGGUACGCCUUCACCCUUUUUCUCCUUGUUUGUUUGGGAUCUUCAACUCUACUGCCCUAACAUCUUUCUUUUUAAUUAUGAGCAAUAUGGUGAUAGUGGGCCACUAACAGCAUUUCUUGUUUUGAUUUCCAACUAAGAUAAGGUACCGUUAGUAUAUUUGCAUGUAUAGAAAUUCCAACAUUUGAUCCGGGUCCAUCUUCUGCAUUGUUGUUUUGAUACAUGUGAGCUGUUUUAGAUGAUGCUAUAUAUGCAGGGACAGAAUGACUUCCCUAGUAAAAAGAACAGAUGUAGAUGUGUGACGUGGAUACAGAAUUUUAUAUUCAUAAAUUCUGGAGAUGAUUAACUGCACUUGUAAAAAUUUAAAUGAAAUUAAUUUUAACAUCCUGAAGUUGGCCUGUGACAGAGUAUGCAUACACUCUUCGAGUGGAUGAGAAAAGUGAUGUCUUCAGCUUUGGUGUUGUGCUCUUGGUGCUGAUCACCGGGCAUCGACCGCUCAGCCCUGCUGCAUUUGGGGAAGAUGUCGACAUCGUGCAUUGGGUUCGUAACACAGCAUCAGAGGUCACAUACAAGUCUGAUGCUGCAGCAGUACUUUCUGUGGUGGAUCGCAGGCUCUCGCCAUGCCCUCUGGAUUUAAUCAUCAAUCUGUUCAAGGUGGCGAUGCUGUGCGUGAAGGAGAGAAGCGUGGCACGCCCGACCAUGAAGCUGGUGGUCCACAUGCUCUCCAAUCCAACGGCCUCGACAGCAACCAAUCUUUUUGCUGUCUGAAAAUCUAAUUGUUUAAUUACUGCCAAUAAGCUAUGAGGCGUUUUGUGGGUUGUAUAUAGUUUCGUUUUCAGAUUGCUUCCUGUAUGCCAGUGUGGUCUUCUAAUUAGGAGUCUGCCCACUCCACUCAGCUGAGUCUGUCACCUGAUUGUUGUGAAAAUUGCAUUGUGGAAUGAUAGUAUGAUAUUUAAUGAAUGUAUACUAUCUGUGAUUGGAGGACAUGCAAUUUUGCUAAUGAUGGUGGUAGUAUUAACAAAUGAGACUGUAGAACUUGAUUUUAAAUUAGCUGCUGAACGUGGAAUGAUUAUAGGAUGUGUGGAAAAGUAAACUUUUGGAAACAAAAUUUUUGAUAUACUACUGAAUUCACAUUAAAAAAAAAAAAGAAAAGAAAAAAGAUAUACUACCGAAUGAAUGUGCCAUGCGCUUUCAGAUUGUGUUGUACAAAAAAAAAUGCACACUGUCUGAUAGCAUAAAUUUAAUGGAGCUCUUGACCCUAAAAGCUUCUUUAAACCCAAAGCUUCGCAAGAUCAGCUGUAAAUGCAGUGGCUGCUGAACGGAACUCAAAGCAAAAAUAGCUUAAAAAAAUUAGCAUCUCUGUGUAUGCUGCCAGUUUGGCUUCCUUCACUUUCCUUUUCCUGGAGCUUUGCAUGCUGCAGCUAAAUUUUAGUUGAGGUUAUUUUUCUAAAUAUAUGGCAUCAUGUGUUAAUUUUUGUUGCCUCUCCCGUGAUGUAUAACUUCAACACCUCCACUUGUGUUAUAUCAUCUAGCUAUCAUGUUUGAGGUCAACAUAUAUUUUCAUAGUACUCUUUCUUUUGGAUCGGAUAAACUGCCAUAUCAGAACUAAGCUUGGGCUUAGUGCAAAGAAUAGCGGAAGAAUCACAUCAAAAUAAACAAGCAUGCUGUUAUUUUAAUUUGUGAUUAGCUAUGCCUUCUACUAAAUUCCUGUUUCAGUGAGAUAUAACUGCCCUGUGCUUGCCAUCAUGGGAAAUUAUGAGUUGGUUUGCUUGGAGGAACUAACGAGAGUUGAUGGUGGAAAACCAUCGAUAGGAGUAGCUUUUGAUGGGGAAACUUUUCUUUUUCGUUCUGAGAAAUUUGGAGAGCAAAGGAGUUGGAAUCGGAUUCUCCAACUACAUUAAUAAAUGGGAUACCAGUCUGUUUAAGACGAGAUUUAUGGUAUUCCGAAAUCUUGCAAUUGUUGGUCAAUGAUCAAUCAAAUGCUUGUUUCCCACUCUUUUUGGUUGCCUCAUCUUUAUUCAAGUCUCACAUAUAAAAAAGAUGCUGCUACGCUUCCCCAAGAAGCUCCCCAGAAAAGUGGCAUAAACCUAGUCUUUUAGUAGUCAAAAUGUUUAACUUUAUCAAUAUAAGUGAGUUAUGCUGGUCGUCCAGGACUCAAACCCAUGCCAUGAAGCUCUAAUUUUAUUGGAUGUAGUAACUUCGGCUUUGGCAUCUUUUUUUUCAUGAAGCAAUUGUCCAAUACUCGAACCCAUGCCAUCGCACUUGUCAACCCAAGCCUUUUAGCAUUGCACCAAGCAAUUAAUGGCCCCUACCAGCGAAUAGAUAAAAUGAAUGAAAAUGGGUCUAUUUUGCCGCCUCAUGCACAACAAUGCAGUAUUAUAUAGUGAGUUUAUUGCAAACUCCAUCCAAUGCUGAAGAUAAUUUUUCUCCAACACACAAAUGCAAGCAUAAGAGAUUGCAAGUAUAUGCGACUUCCCUAACUGUGAGUAUUGUUCCCCAACCAGAAGUACAUUCAUGAGGACCAAUAUAACACACAGAGCAACUCAUUAUAUAAUGUGAACAUGGAAAAUGAAAGCAACUACUUAAGAGUUGCAUGCUCCCAUGCUCUUUACAAUCAAAACACAUAUGUCCAUCAUCAAAAGGAUUGUUUUGUGCGAACCUUGAACCUCUAAAUGUCCAUGCAAAUUCACAGAUGGCUUGCUCUAGCUAGAAGCCUUGUUUGAACAAGGUUGAAAUUAAACAUUCCAACGAAUUUUAUUAUCGAUCCAUGUGAUGCAAAACUAGGUCAUCACUAACCCAUUUUGAAUUAUGUAAACAACUGAUGACAAGAUUUGAUUGUUUUUGGAAAAGGAUGAGAAUAUUCCAUCAUAUGCCAUACACGCCAUUCUCAAUACUGAUUUGAUGCAACUUCACAUAAAUUGUAGCUACACAUAAAAGGAAAAAUACCUCGCCAAAAGAAGGAAAACAGAAAAAACCUGAACAAAAGCAUUUCUUAGCUCUUUUCCCCCAACUUGGUCGUGUACGAAAACGUCUUUAAUCAAUUUAGUAUGUUCAUAAAAUAUAUUUUACAGUACAAUCUUACGAAAAGCUGCUUGUGAUUGCACCCAUCUAACUCAAAUUUUCAUUUUUCCCAUACCACAAAGUGCUUGCAAACGCAGGUACGUUAACACUACCGGCAAUUCUUUAUCAGCCCAUUAUUGCCUUCUUAGCUCUCUGCCACUUAUUCUGGUUUUCAGUGGUGAUUCUUGUAGCCUGCUUAUCUUGUAUCCAUGAAUUCAAAAAUCUGCACUUCACAGAAGGUUCUUUUACACACACACACACUGUAGAAAAAAGAAAAAAGAAAAUAGUUUAACAUUUCAACAUCCAUUCUUUAAGAUAAAGAUAACAUCAUUGGAUUUAGUUAAUUAGAUCCUCCCCAAUGCCUCUAAAUUGAGGUGUAAUAUAUUAUGUUGCAGAUUCUAGUUUAGAUUCAGUAACUACAAAUCACUGCUUCACUGGAACCUCAAUUUAUUGAUAUGCCAUUUUUUUUCAAAUUUGCUACAUUAAAAUUCAAUCCCCAAUAAUAAUGUUAACAACAACAGUAACCAGACAUGGAAUUUGAAAAAAAAAAAAAUUCUUCUUUUACCCAUUGGAAUCAUUGCUUCAAAUUACUUUUCCACUCACUCUGACCUGGUGCUACAUCCACUGUCACCGCGAGCUUCAACAAAAUCAUAUAUCAAAACAUAAAUCUAGUCUUCUUAAAUAGGCAGCAAUAAUUUUACUUUUUUCAGGACAAAUACUUUAAUUCUCAGUAUUCUUUAAAAACUAAACAAAGACCAAGAAAAAGAAAUUCUAUGCUUUAGCUUAAUGUAACCAUGAAUAUUAAGGACCAUGACAUUCAAAUUUAUUUCUGCCCAACAAAGUAUCUGCUAACACUGAUUAUGAAAUGAUCAAACUCGCUAACAAACUUUGGGUACCAUUUGUUCCCAUGGGGAUGUCAGCCUAUCAAAGUCAUGCCAUCCCUAAAAUUCCUUGGCUUAGGCCGGCGGUCACCAGGAAAGUCUCUCCAAGGUCGAGGGUGGGGCUUCUACCCUGCUCAUGCUCCCUCUUGCAUUUUAAACACACACGUUCUGUAAUUGAGUCAUUGAGUUGAAAUCCUAUACUCUUGAAUCAUGAAUGAAUAAAUAAAAAUUUUUAUUUAUUUUGGAUACAAGAAAGACUUUUAUUCAAAUCUUCCUUUUUGCUUUGUUGUGAGUGACUGUCGUGGAUGCUUUUGAAUAGAAGUACCGAAAUAUGGGGCUUUGCCUCUCCCCAAAUCCCAAUUUCACUGCUUCAGUGGAGAUCUUCUGAGGCCUUAAACCCCAGGGUCAACAAGAGGCAGUGAAAGCAUCGGCCUACCUUUGUUUGAGUUAAAGGAGAGUGCCUUCCCAAGGCUCGGUCAUCCGAAGCUUGAGGCUUUAUCCUUUUUUGAGUUUGCGGACUCAAAGAAGAGGGCCUUUCGAAGCUUGAUCAUCUAAGGCUUGGAGGUCAAGGCUCUACUCCCCUUCGAAUUUAUAGACUCAAAGGAGAGAGCCUUCGAAAGCUUGUUCAUCCCAAGCUUGGAGGUUGAGGCUCUGCCCUUCUUUGAGUUUGCAGACUCAAAGGUGAGAGCCUCCAAAAGCUUCGAAGCUUGAUGGUCCUUGACUAAGGCUUCAUCUUACCUUGAGUAUUGGUGGUGCUUGUCUCGGAGUCAAAGUACGUCAUAGCCUCCGGGACUUGAAGAAGACAAGUAUGGUGUCAUGCUUGAAGCAUGCAAUUCUCUCGAGACUUUCGAGCAGGCGUGGUAGCUUGGCCCGGGGGCAUGGUGGCCUGCCCAGGACUUUCUCAGAGUUUUCGGUCGACAUAGGUCUACUUUGGCCUCCAAGGCUUGGAGUCUUCCCCCAUUGGAGACAUACAAGACAGUCGAGACUUUCGAGCAUUAUAACUUGGUCUGGGGUGUAGUAAGCUCCCAGGGCUUUUGAAUAGGCAUGGUAGUCCGGCCUGGGCGCAUGAUAGUCCACCCAAGAUUUUCUUGGAGUUUUCGACCGAUGUGGGCCUACUCUAGCCCCUGAGGCUUCCAUCAUUAGAGGUGUAUGUGAUAGCUAAGACUUUCGGAUAUGGUGAUCCGGCCUGGGGCAUUAGCCUUCCCAAUUCUUUCUCGAAUUUUUUGAUCUAUGUGGACCUACUCCAACAAUGGGUCUAUUGUCUAUUGUAGGCUUGACCAUUGGUUGGAUUUCGUGGCUCGAGACCUUGGUGUCCUUUGGAUGGUUGAUGAAAUUCUAUAGGAAGCCUCACCGGAUGAGGGUUUUUAUUUUCUUCUUCAACUGAAAACAAUCCUUGGUGUCAUGACUAUGGUUCUGCUGAAAGUGACAAUACUUCAGUCGGUUGCAUCAGGCCAACUGACUCGACUUUCCAAACCAUCGAAGAAUGUCUUGGUUUUUGAUCUCCAUCAAAAUUUGUCUCCGAUGAGUAUUUAGAGAUGUGAAGUCCUCGAAAUGUCGAGGGAUUUGGGACCAACAAGGAGACCUCCCAUCAUGCUUCGACUUCUUCGACCAGGGAGUAGGUUGAUUCUCCCUAGCCCUCUUCUGCUUCAUCUUUUUUUUUUCUAUUUCUCCACCAUUCUUCCUUACCAUCAAUGUACUUGUUGGCACAGAUGAGGAGCUCAGAGAAGUCUCAAGGAAACCUCUUUGAGAAAGAGGUAUAGAAGCUAUUUGCCUUCAAUCCCUUUUUGAGGGCCAACAUUGCAAUCGAGUAAUCCAAGUUGCGGACUUCUAACAUGACCACUUUAAAGCAACUCAUGUAACUUUGGAGAGAUUCUUCAUCCUCCUGCUUGAUGGAAGAAGACAUAUGUGCUCUUUCUUGGCUUUUGACUGUUUUAAAAUUGAGCAGCAAACUGACAGUCGAACUCCUCAAAAGAGCAAAUGGAGUUCUGCUGGAGCCUGAUAUACCAGACUCGAGUAGCAUCCUAAAAAGUGAUAGGAAAGGACUUGUAUAGCAGAGUGUCUGAGGCCCCUUACAACAUCAUGAGGGCCUUAAAGUACUCCAAAUGGUCAUGGGGGUCAAUAGUGCCAUCAUAGACCCCAUCAAAGGUCCUUUAAAAUGGCGAGGGAUUGGCUUCCUCAUAAUCUACUCUGUGAAGAGAGGGCGAGUAGUGAAUAAGGGCUCUCCCUUUGGAGCCAACUGAUGCUAUCGGAGGGUCUCGAGGUAGUGGUCCACCUCCUAGAUCUUUUUAUCUAGUUUAUCCUAUCACCCGAGCCUCCUCUAGAGCUAGCGGCUUGCAAAUCCGCUCACAAAUGUGUCUUGCGAGAAAGAAAAGAAUGAAGGAGGAGGAGCGGGUUCACACUCCUUACCUUGCUUACCAUCCCUGAAGUGAAGCCAAGGGACAUGAGGCAUCCCUCUUGAACCAAAUGGUCGAGGUCAGCGAUGAGAGGAAGCUCGCUCGGGACUUUGAUGGGUAGAUCGAGAGAUCUGAGGGACUUCUUCUGGCCUGGCGGGGUGGGAUUGGUUGCUCCACCUCACACUCCUAAAGGGUGGAGGAAAAUCAAGAUGCACCGGAGUCAGAUGAUCACACGGCAUCGAGGCAGCCUGAUGAGCCGACUGCUGUAAGCUGUGCACUACGAUGGUUGGUGCUUGGACCUACUAUAGGGACCAUUAGAACUACUCAGAGGUGACAGCCAGUGCAGUUGAUGCCUCCAAAACAUUAAGAUCCCGAUGACCCUAGUCAAGAUUAGUGGGUUCCACAGGCAUCCUUGGAAAAGUGGUGGAGGAUAUCAUCACAAUCUUCUUGUUCUUCAUACUCGAAUGAUGAAAGAAUAAAAAAACUUAGUAUGUCAGAUGCAAAUUGGAUCCUUCCUCUAGCACCAAUCUAUUACCAUCAGAGAGUCAAGCUAGCUCAGGCUGCUGAACUGGAGUCGAAAGAAAGAGUGUGAUGGUUAUAGAACAGCUAGUCGAGACCUCCAGAUCGAAUGCUAGUAUUGGAUCCUUGAUUAAUCCCUUGAGUUAGACCCUGUAAAACUACCAAAGAUAGGAAAGUCCUCACAUCGGGGUUCUUCGGUGAUGGACCCUCUAAUGCCUAAGUCAGUCUCCUAUAGAAGCAAACAAAUGAGGCUCGAGCUUGUUAGAAAGAGUUUAAUGGUGAAGCCGAGUAUGAAGUGUAGUGGAUUGGAGUGGAGAAAUAGAGAAUGGAAGAUUGGAGGAUGCCAUGCGGAGUAUGGAGAUCAGAGGUGAAGUUGGAAAAGCUCAGAGCUCUAUAGAAGAGAUGGAUCCCCGUUCGCGUAAAAUCGGUCUCAAGGAGAAGGCAUACAAGUAAGUGUUCAUUUCUUAUCUUGAGGGUUUCAAGGAGUUGAGUUUUAUAAAUGAAGGUAGGAACCUUCGAGAACGCAGGCCAUUCAUCUAAGAUCAAACAUCGUGGGAACAUCUACUUUGACUGUUAGAGAAUAACGGCUCACACAUCGUGGAGUUUUUUAAGAUUGCUAUUCUUGCCAAGUGGAGGAGAAGGUGGAGCAAAGAGCAAGCUGGCUGCUUGUGAUCUGACAAGUGAAAAACUUUAAAGCUCCUCCAACGUGGUCGUAAAGGAUCAAAUGGCAGAAGUUGGGUGGUUGCUCCAUUACCUUUCAUCAAGGACACAUGUCGGGCUGCUGUUGGGCCGUCAUUGUCAUGAUGGACGGUCUAUCAUAGGGUGCAAUAAUUCCCAUGUUUUCAAAAAAAGUGCCAAUUUUCUAUACAUUUAUUAGUCUGUAUAAAUAUUAAUUUAGUACAUAAAACUUUUGAAAGAAAUCAAGAUUAUAUAUGUAUAAUCUUCUUUUGCAUCAAGCUGCUCCACAAGCUUGAUGUCACUGUAGAGAUGAGAGCCUCCCAGCAAAGCCUUCCAAACAUUUGGACUAGCUUCCUCGGACAUCAAGCUCACCAACUUCUUUGCAUCUGCCAAAUGACCCGUAUGUGCAAGCAUGUCCGCCACACAAGCAAAAUGCUCUCAUCUUGAAUCAAUCCUCUUCUCCCUGACCAUCCUUUCAAAUAUGAUCAAGUCAUCAUCCACCAAUCCUGAGUGGCUAAAGGCAGAGAUCAAUACAUUUAGAUAUGUAACAUGUCCAGCUCUUUACUGCAUUUCUCCAUGCAGAGAGAGAGAGAGAGAGAGAGUGCUGCUUCUCCGUUGCCAUUAGUCCCAUGCAAUGAUACCGUAGCAUUCCAGCUAGGAGACUGUAUCCAAUAAUCCUUCUCAUCAAACACUCUGCACCCUAUUUCUGCAUAACCAUAUUUUCCAUAUACUGCUGUCAGACUAUUCCGGAUUGAUUUGAUUUCAAAUUAAGGUUUUAAAUCUCAUGAGGUAGGAUUGUCUUAAUUUUCCAACGAAGCAGACAUGCUGCCAUGCUGUCCUAUCCUGAUACUUGGGAUAGAAGAUAUUGAUGGGAUGGUCCUAUCCUAACACAUGGGAUGGUACCCGUCUCAAUAUCCCAUGUGAUGUCUUAUCAGGUUUUGAAUCCUUGUUUUACACCAUAUGUGUGAAAUUGCCAAGGUAGCUUGAGACUUGCUCGCUUCUUGCAAGCCAUCAGCAAAUUGACAACUGUUUACUGAGUCGAGUUUGAAAUUGUCCCCUCUUCCUAUUUUGCUGAGCACUUGCGGCCCUUCAAUUGGUUGCCCAUUCUGGACAUAACCUGAUAUUAUUGCAGUCCAUGAUACCAAGCUCUUAUCCCCGAUACAAUCAAGUGACAUCUUAGCAGACCCAAUAUUCCCACAACUGGAAUACAUUGUGAUCAGAGAAUUCUCAACAGGGAGCUCCAAUUCAUAUCCACCGAUAACAAUCUGGUUAUGGACCAACCUCCCCUCAUAAGUUUCCAAGACUCAAGCAUGCAUCAGACACUGAAUACGUCACUGCAACAUCUAGAUCCAGGAACACCUUAAUAACAUAACCAUGCAUGCUCUCACACAGUCAAAACGAGCCAUAACCAAUACAACUCCGAGUGGCACAUCAUGUGCCGAGAAGGCUAUCAUACCAAAUUGCCAUAGUCAUUUGAAGAGCAAUAAAGCUUCUUCAAGCGGAUGAUGAUGCGCAAAUCCAGCAAUCAUGGCAUUGCAGGUAAUGUAACUCAGCUCAACCAUUUCCUUAAGCGAAACAUAAAUACUUAUGGGACCUCUAGAUUUAGCAUAGCAGUCUAACAUAGAUUGGCUUCUAACCCAGUUUUAACUAUCCUUCCAUGAACAAACUCUCCACGUCUGUUUCACGAAACCAACACUCCACAAUACUGAAAAAAUUUGGACAAAAGCCCGACUUCUGCAACUGAGAAAAUAGUUGAAGAGACUCGGCAAAAAAUCCAUUGAUUGCAUACUCAUGAAUCAUAUUUGAAAAUGAGACCACGUUCUUCUCAGGCAAUUCAUCAAACAGUUUCCUCGCAACGUCGGUAUGUGCCGUCUGCAGUACCCAUGAUCGAGUUUAGUGGUGAAGGCUGGGCUGGGUUUCCCCUAGAGGCAAGGAACAGAGCCUGUGUUCUUUUCAAGAAAUGGAGGUGAAUGGAGAGGUCGACAGAAUGCGAAUGUCAAAAAAUGUUGAUGUCCGCCCGCGCCCGGAGGUUGUAGUUCCUGUGCCGUCGGAGCCCGGACAAGAUCCUCGCAGUGAUCGCCCGCCGGUGCCACUCCCUAAGCUUCGUCCUUUCCGAGUUUCGGAUUCGGGCCCGAGUUGGGUCCGGAUCGGGCCAAAGAUCUGUCGGAGCUCAGUCCGAAAGUAAAACGGAUCUAUUUUUGAAUCCGAACCCGAUCUGAAUGAUUUCGGAUCGAGCCCGAAGCCGGCUCAGAUCGAUGGGUCUCGGAUCGGCCCGAGCCCCCAAAUGAGAAUAUUGCAUAAUUUUAGGCUCGAAACGCCCAAAAUUUUCUAUCAGAGGCCUUUUGGGCUGUACAAAAUGUUGUAGUUGAACUGGGCUGGUGCCCGGUGGAUCAAGUUGGUCCAAGAUGCCAACCUGCCAGGCCAUAGCUUCCUGUCCGACAAAACUAAAUUCUCAAGCUAUAUUAUUAUUGCCCCAUUUUUACUCUUGUCAAGCAGGACCAAGUUAAGAACAUUAGCCAGUGUUUUUAGCUAUUUUUUAUGGAAUUCCAGGAACUAAAGAUUACUUAACUGAAGGUUUUUUGGAUGGAUUGAUAUCGUAUGCGGAAUACUUCAGAGCCACGAAAGACAUAGAACACUUCCCACACGUGAGGUAUUGGGACAUGUUGGUCUCCAGGAGCCAUUCCAGUGAUUCCCCAUUACACCUCCUGAUACGGGGAUAUAAACUUCAAUGGUUUAGUGAAAGGUAAUUAUGCUUAUGCUGGAGAUCAUUGUAGGAGAGUUCUUUAAGCUAAAUCUCUCUAACUUACUCUACCAUUCUUGUACUAGCAGCUGCACUGAGAGCUGCAUGGUGAAGGUUUAACAAUCGCUAUCCAUCAUCUCAAGAUUAGCAGGUUCUAGUCACAGUGAGCUUACACAACUGUGAUACAUUGGAUUCUUUACUGAUCUUUAUGAUGCUUCUGCUUCUUAUGACCCCCGGUUAAACAACAUAGGCGGGCAACGUGAGGAAAUUUGCAGCAAUUCCACUUACUUCACACAUAUUUGGCUGGAAGGAAUAUGCAUAAACACGAGAUUAUUUACACCCCGCUGGUCAUCGCAGACGUCUCUCGAUUUGUUUUCUUAGAUUUCAGUUCUAGGCAUGACCUCCUACGCUACCUACCAAAAAAAAAAAAUCAUAUAUAGGUUAUCACUGUUGGAACAUAAUGGAUUAUUGAAUGCGAAAAAAAAUGAGGGUUGCAAGAACCCUCACAAAUAGGUGAUACAAGUGCGCGAUAAGAAAGCCGCAUAGAUGAAUCACGUCUGGAUGCCGGACUUAGGAAGCCGGCGUGGGGUCAGUUGAAAAGUAGCUGGUGCGGGAGUCAUUGAGAAGCAGCAUGCACAGGGCUCGUGGGGUCACUGAUCAUAAAAAAGAGGAUCGCGACUUGGAAAAUCGUGAAUAAGGAAGAUGAGGAAUGAUCCACAGUCAGGAUGAAAGAGAAAUGGAUGAGAAAUGAAUCCAAUGGCUAGUAGGAUUAAAGAAAAAAAAGGAUGGAUGGCUCUAAUACUAUGACAAAAUAUAUGAGGAAAAAAUGAAAUUCAAUUGUAUUGGUUGAAUUUUUUUUAUUUUCUGGAUAUGAUUUAUAUUGUAUAAAUAGACUACAGGUAUGAAUAAAAAAGAAAUAAAAAAAAUAUUCAUUGGGUCAUUUCAAAAAUUUUAAUUAUAGUAUGAUUUUUAUCAAAUUAAAAAUUUAUCAUAUUUGGCGAUGCAAGCCAUCAAAAGGCUGCUUGAGUUUAAUUAUAAAGGCCGUUUGAUUAUAAAACGAAUCCAAUUGGUGCUCAGUUUAGCUUAUUUUCAGCUCAAUUGAUCGCAAUCAUUCAAUAAAAAAUAAUUAAAUUAUAUAAACACUCCAAACUAGAUAUUAGUUAUAUAGUUUUUAUAUUUAUAUUUACUAAUUAAAUAAUAGCUAAAAUUAAUCUAAAAAAAUGCAUUUCGACUAUGGUAUAGAUAUCAAAUUGCUAAGAUUAUUUUAAGCUAUAUAUAUUAUUUAUUUGUCUAUCUAUGAAUGUAUGUAAAAUGGAAUUCAAUUGUAUUGAUUGAAUUUUUUUUAUUUUUUGGAUAUGAUUUAUAUUGUAUAAAUAGACUAUAGGAAUGAAUAAAAAAGAAAUAAAAAAAUAUUCAUUAGAUCAUUUCAAAAAAAAUUAAACUGUGGUAUGAUUUUCACCAAAUUAGAAAUUUAUCAUAUUUGAUAGUUCAAGCCAUCAAAAGGCCGUUUGAUUAUAAAACAAACCCAAUUGGUGCUCAAUUUAGCUUAUUUUCAGCUCAAUUGAUCGCAAUCACUGAAUAAAAAAUAAUUAAUUUAUAUACACACUCCAAACUAGAUAUUAGUUAUAUAGUUUUUAUAUUUAUAUUUACUAAUUAAAUAAUAGCUAAAAUUAAUCUAAGAAAAUGCAUUUCGACUAUGGUAUAGAUAUCAAAUUGCUAAGAUUAUUUUAAGCUAUAUAUAUUAUUUAUUUGUCUAUCUAUGAAUGUAUGUAUGUAUAUUAACGUCUUGGGAAUAGAGGUGCGAUUGAGGGAUCAAAAUGGUGUCUGAUCGACCUUAGCUUGAAUUAUUUCGAUACCAAAGUUUGAGAUCAAGCAUGUUGGCUUGUAAUUUAGCUGCCCUAAGUCAAGCUCAGGUUUGAAGAAGGCUAACCAUGAGCCCAUUUCGAUUACUUCAAUGACUUAAACUGAGGCAAAAUCAAUUUGAGUUGGCAUUAUGCUUGAGUCAAUCUUCAAACUCAAUUCCACACCUGGCAAUUCGUUUCUAUCAUUUUAUCAUGAUUAAUUAUGUACUUCCUUGCAUAUUAUAUAAAUGUACUAUAUAUACGAAUAUUAUAUUAAAUCUAUUAUAUGCAUUAUGUUGCAAAAUUUGAUCAAACCAGGUCUAUUUUUGGCAUAGAUUGAGAUUAAUACUGAGCAUAUGAACUAGGGUAAAGUUUGGGUCAGUUGCAUCGGAACCAAGUCUAAUUAUAGCUCAAUUUGAACAGAGGUUGAGCUGCUCAAAUUAAUUGACAAGCUUACAACCUAAGGCUUCUGCUAGAUGCUAUAAAGAUAUUGUUCUGAAUGUCUCAAACUUGUAUCAUUAAUGAGCUAGGUUGAGCUUGUGUCAAUCAUAAAAUGCGACAAAAUUAAACUAGACCUUUUCCACUGAUUUGGCUUGUAAAAUCACCAUCUAAUAUCAGUUUAUAAUGUAAUGCGUAUGAUAUGUACUUAGAAAGCCCUGUGUUAUACUAGACAAAGAUCUUAAAUUUUUUUCAGAAAAUUGUGUAAAAGUUUUGUCUUUAUUCUGACCCGUUGAAGGCCCAUUUUCUGUUUCCAGGUGCAAUGGUUCUAGCCCAUGGGACGGGCUUGGAUGGACGACGGCCCUGCCAUGCCCGUUGACGCUACUGCUCCAAUGUGGCCCAUCGUGUGGGCCUGCUGACAUGCAACAGGAUCAGGGGUUCCUCUAGAACCUAGCCAUCAACCAUUCUUUCCCCUUUCUUAAACAAUUAAACCUCAAAUAAUUUUGUCCUUUGUGGGCAAAGUUAGGUUUAAAUAAAAGCAAAAAGCUCGACUUCCAGAAGCCUUUGUACCUUCCACUAAAGCCUUCUAUAUUUUUUUUUCAUUUAUUCCCCCAUCAUAUAUUGCAGGCCAGAUUCCCACAUUGGUAGAACGGCAUCCAUCCGUUUCUAAAAGAUGGAUUCCCGUUCUCAAAGAAGAAUAAAUUCUUCUUGCUGGUGCCACAUGUUAGGUUUAUAUUUUUCCCCACAUCCACUAGGAUUCAAGGCUUCUGCCCCCAAAUUAUCCCCCUACUAACCCCUCUCCUGGUAGGCUGACAUUCCAUUGCCCUCAUUUAAGUCAUCCCAUCAUCAAGGUUCUAAUAACAGAAUAACUCCAUAAUAAUGAUUCUAAUAACCAUUAUUUCUUCUACUAUAUAUGAUUUUAAUUUUCAAUAUAUUAAAAAACAAACUUUUUUUAAAGUAAAAUUAUCAUAGAUGGUAGCUGAAAAAUAGCAGAAUUAUUUUUAAAUUGAGUAUUCAACUCAUAAAAAAAUAUGAUUUUUAAAUUAUAUAAUCUAUUUUGGAGGAAGAUUGGUAUUAAAAUUUGAGUUUUAAAAAUAACAUACUGCUUUUGUGCUAUAAUGAACCGUUACAAAGCUAAAAUAUCCUUUAUAAUCACCAUGAUUUUUUCCUGCAUUAUUGUUAAUAACAUAACGGAGAGAGCUAAGGUUAAUAGUUUAGGCGUAAUUCUAACCCUCCACAUCCUUCUUAACUUUUCCAUCUUGUCUUAAUUUUAUAUGCAGAUCAUGGUGGUUGUUCGUGAAGCACAAGACGCCAUGUAACGUGAAAAGGAAGCCUUUUUUUCUCCAUCCGUCGAUGGUGAAGGAAAGGUUGCUUUUGCCAGGGAAAAGACGGGGACGAAAGGAUGGAAAAAAAGAGAGAACCCGUCUCCUUCUGGACCAGUGGGGCCCUUCCUUUCGAGCCCACGUCCCUCCCAAUGGAAAGGCGAAAUCCACCUCGCCGUUCGAAAUUCUCCCGGCUAAUGCAGCAAAAAAGAGAGGGAGACGUGGCGGUCAGCCAAGCACCUCCCUGCCCGGGCGAGCCGGGCAGCGGGCCGCAUGUGACGCCGCCUAUCAUCUCUAACCACUAGCCAGCUCACGCCGUCAACCAGCCCCCCGACCUGUCAGAGCUAUCGACCGUACGCCCACCCUUCUGACACUCGAGUAACCUGACCGGCGGACCCUGGCGGAGGAAAAGUUAAGUGAGAUCUGUCACCGUUCGCCGUUACUCUCUCCUGGACGUGAUUUACUGUAAUGACCAUUAAACCGCUGUCUCUCCCUAAUAUGACGUAUAAUAAUUAAAAAAAUUAUUGCAACAGAUUAUUUAUUAUUUUAAUUAUUUUUUAUGUAUUUUUUAUUUAAAAAAUAUUAUAAUAUUAUAAUAUAAGUAUUGCUAUAAGUCUGUGGAUCGACGUCGAUCAUCCAUCAAUGUAAAUUUUAGAUUUAGUUGGAUAGACACUUCCUUUCGAGAAAAUUUACAAUAGAAGUCUGUAUGUGCCAGAAGUGCUCCAACGAUGACUCUCUAAUCUUAAGUUAUCUCGAGUUUAAGAACAGAUAAGAAAUAAAAGAAAAAAUGAGGAGAGAGUGUGGAUACUGCUCUAUAUGGAUGCAUAUACUUACCAACCUUAAGAUCCCUCAGUUAUCUCUUUAUAUAGAGAUAAAGUUGUAAAUUGUUAUGCCAAAAUCCGAUAGGCCGUUGGACCUUGGUAUUGUAGAUUAUUAGACUUUAAUCAUAUAGGCCGUUAGGAUAGAAAAUCCAUCCAGUAACCUAUAAAUUAAGGUUGUCGGUCAUGGGCGCCUGUUGUCUACAUUUCGGAAGCCAUUCAGAGAUUUCAAUGACCUAACCCUACCAUUGAGAUGGCUAAUGGCUUAAGAUCCGCAUGGCACCGAGGUGUGGCCUCGGUUUGGAUCCGAGAUCAAUUAAAUGCAUAAGAGGUUAUAGCCUUUAGGAUGGUAUUGUUCGAUGUUUGGGUCAGUUUUUGAUGAGCUGAAGUCGGUAUCUACUAGAUCGGCAUUCAAUUGAUGAUGGGAUCGGCUAUCACCCAAGAUCGUUGGCUUGCACCACCCCUCCUUGGAUUGGACCUAUAAUACAGUCUGGGGCACCUCAAUUUUAAACCAAAAUGCCCAAAUUGACGAAAAAUGGCUCAUCUGAAAUACUCAUACCCAAAACACUUGUUCCUCACUCCUGAGUCUGAAGUGCUCGCUGACUUCAGACGAUGGGAAUAGUUUUUCGAGGGAGCCCAUUUUCAGUUGUCAAGCAAAUCCAAAGCCGACUUUGAGUUGAUGUUGGGACUUGUACUACUACUAUUAUGUAGAAUAUUCUGAGCUCCGACUCCCAAGAUGAUACUUUGAAUGAUGUGCUAUAAUUACGGAAGGACGAGAAUUGAGGUGGUGCACCGAAUUUAUUUAAAACAUUCGAAUCCGAAAAUUGCUCGAUUGUUGGCAUGCCAUACCCGAUAUUAACAUGCGGUAGGAUGCACGUUUUCCAUAAUUGCUAUGGAUUAUUGUGCUGAUCAGAAGUUGACACAUAUCAACAUCUCAGAUGGAUGCAUUAAACCAUUAGGUUGAUCAAGACUAUUGGUGCAGCUUAUAUAAGUACCGAUGCUUCUCUGUUUAUUUUCUACCUUCCACUAUUCUUUCUCUAGAUGCUUUGCUUCCAAAGCUACCAUAUAGGUACUCCAUCCACUCAAAGCCCUAUGUUUGGUGUAAAACUUUGAAGAAAAGAAAGCAUCUUUCAAUUGACUUCGAUAUGAACUAAUUGAGGGUGGUAUUCUCCCCAUUAGGUGCUGAACAUCCUUCUUGAAGGUUGGGUGCUUCAUUUCAAGGAUCACUUGUAUCUUUUUCGAAUUUACCUCGAUCGCAUGCUGCAUCACUAUGAACCUCAUAAAUUUUUUUGAGGUGACUCUAAAAGUGGAUUUCAUGGGAUUGAGCUUCAUCUGGUGCCACCUUAAUUCUCCAAAAACCUGCUUCAAGUUAGCCAUGUACUAAUUUGCUUUGGUACUCUUACUAGUAUAUCAUCCAUAUAUAUUUUCAUAUUACGGUCGAUCUGAUAUUUGAACACGUUAUUGAUAAGAAACUGAUACGUUAUACAUGCAUUUUUUUAAUCCAAAUGGUAUUACUUUAUAACAAUACAGAUCUUUGUCGGUGAUGAAUGCCAUAUUUUUCUCAUCCUCAGACAUCAUUCGGAUCUGGUUAUAUCUGAAGAAGGCAUUUAUGAAGCUUAGAAACUUAUAUUCCAAGAUGGUACCCACCAGUUAGUUGAUCCAUGAUAAUGAAAGCUAUCCUUUAGACAAGCUUUAUUGAGAUCGAUGUAGUCGAUGUAUAUCCUCCAUUUGUCAUAUCUUUUUCACCAUCACUACAUCCACUAGCCAAUCAAGAUAAUGGACAUCUUGAAUGAAGCUCGCUGCCAAGAGUCUUCGAUCUCCUUGUUCAUCGUUCGCUGUCAAUUUGGUGCGAAGUUCUUCUUUUUUUGUCGAAUUGAACAAUAUCCUGAGUCAACAGUUAACCUAUGAACAAAGAUUUCAGGAUAAAUACCUGAUAUGUCGGACACCAACUAGAUGAAGAUAUCAGUGUUCGCCUACAAAAAUUAUAGCAAGUGGUCCCGUAGAUCGAUUGUUAGCAUUGUCAAGAUUUGGAUUAUCUUAGUUGGUUUAUCCUCUUGGAGCGACAUGGACUCCAGCUGCUAAGCAGGUUCUCCUCGGGCCUCCUUGAGAUCUUCUUGAUGAUCGAAGUUCUUGAUUUACAGAGUCUCUAUAGGCUUCUUUUCCUUCACUAAAGCCAUGAAGCAUUGGCAGGCUAGUACCUGGUCUCCUCAGACCUCACCAAUCUCAUUUUUUAUUGAGAACCUCAACAAAAGAUGGUAUGUAAAUACUAUCGUUCGGAGUGCAUUGAGCUCAGAUCGAUCGAUUAUGGCAUUAUAGACAGAUGGAACCUAGACCACCAGGAAGAUCAGUUGCAUGAUAGUCUGUCGAGGCUCUUGUCCUGCACUGAUAUGUAGGGUUAUUUCUCUCUCAAUUAGAAUGAGAGUAUUUAUCAUUUUCAAUCGAUCGGUCGGCAAUUUCAUUAUUUGAAAAAUAUCACAAAAUAAGAUACCUCUUGAGCUUCCAUUAUUUUAAUGAGAAUUUUUUUUAUAUUAUAGUUUGUUAUCAUCAUGAAAAUGAUGAAAGUAUUAUCAUAGAGAGUUUGAACUCCUCAGAUAUCCUUAUCAGAAAAAAAAAUUACAUCAUCCAUUCGCCACCUCUUCGGUGAUGGGCUCUCAACUCAACCUUUUGCCCCCAAUCUCCGAUGAACCUCGAGAUCAUUUUGAUGAUGCCAGCUAUCAGAUAGUUGCUGUUGUCCUCCUCGAGUUGGCACCGAGAUGGUUGCUCAAUCAUUCGAUCUUCUCAUUCAUGGAUGUACUUCUCGAGGUAUCCCCUUCAAAUCAAGACUUCAAUCUCAUCCUUCAGCUGGCAACACUUUUGGUGUUGUGGCCGAUAUCGUGGUGGAACCAACAAUAUUUGUUCCUGUUCUACUUUGUCAAUGGGGCUUUCAUUGGCUCUGGUCGAUGAAGAUAUUUCUCCCUCUCGAUAUUUAUGAGGAUCUGGGACCAAGAUGUAGAUAAAAGAGUGUAGGUGUCGAACCGAUGAGGUGGACUCCUUGAUCUCAGAUUUUUCUAUUGCUAAGAGGAUUGAGGCUCACCCCAAGGUCCUCGGAGCUCCUAUUGGGGGCACUUUCCACCUCCUUAUUUUUUUUGGCUUGCCGACGGAUGAUUGUCACUUUCUCGACCUAUGCAUACUUUCGAGCAGGGGUGAGGAGGUCAACAUAAUCCUUCGAAAAGCUCUUAUCAAGAAAGAAGAGUCAAUGGUUACUUCAUAGUGUCCUCUUCAGAGCCAACAUUGCAACCUCCUCAUUGAGGUUGCAGACUUCCAAUAUGGCCAUGUUGAAACAGGUUAUGUAGUUGCAAAACAACUCCCUCUUUUUACUGGAUGGAGCAGAGGCCAUUGAAGUUCAUCGAUCGAGGAUGAUUGUUUUCAAACUACAUGAUGAACUAUCUGCCAAGCUGUUCGAAUGAAUGGAUAGUCCUUAAUUAGAGAUCGGAGUACCACGCUUGUGUUGACUUCUCGAGCAUGGUUGGGAGAGCAAGAUAAAGGAGGGUGUUUGAGCCCUUUGAAGCAUCAUGAGGGCUUGGUAGCCCUCAAGAUGGUCCAACGAAUCCGAGGAUCCAUUAAAAGGUUCCGCCGGUGGUAUCUUGAACCAAGGUGGGCCCAGUUCUUCCAGUAUUCUUCAGGAGAAAGGUGGGCACAUGCUGAAGCUAAGGGGAUCGUUAGGCUUCCGAUUCCCUUCUCGAUACUAUUUGAGCCUCGACUCGAUCUCUCGGAUCCUCUGCUUGAGAUCAUCCUCAUGCCAAGAUCUCCUGAAGUACUGAGAGUAUCCCAAAACUAAAUCUCCUCUCGAGGACUCGAAGGUCCUAUGCCGUCGAUCCACUCUCUUAAAGCUUUGUUGAGGUAAGAGAGAUUGGGUGGAUGGCCAACUCUGAAUGGUGAGAGCAUCGUGGGGGCCUCUCCAAGCUCCUGAGGAGGGAUCGGUAGGUGCGCUGUGAUGGAGCAACCAGCUUCUGCUAGUUUUGGCUCCCUGCUAUUUGCUGGAAUUGCUGGAUGCAGUAGUAAGUGCUUGAAUCUACUAGAUCAUGGUGUUGAAUUGUCAAGGGUCUACAGCCAUGGCAAGUGGAGUCGGGUCCACCACUGACGGUUCUGAGUUCUAUUGGCUCCAUUGGGACUAUUGGUGGCGGAAGGUAGUGGAGGUGUCUUGUAGUGAGCUCCUCACCAUCUUCUUCCUUUUUCCUCUAGAAAGUGUGACAAAGAAUCUUUCUCUAGCACCAAUCUGUUGCUAUAAAUCUCCGGAUCGACAUCGAUCACCCAUCGAUAUGAAUCCUGGACUUGGUUGAAGAGACGCUUCGUCUCAAAGAAAUAUGCAAUAGAAGUCCGCACGCAUAGGAGAUGCUCCAAUGGAGGGUCCUCCGAUACUUAAUUUGGCCAAAGAUUGACUACAGAGAAGAAAGAAGAGAGAAAAUUGGGAGAGAGCGUGAAUACUACUCUCUAAGGGUGUAUUUGCUUGUCUAUCUUAAGAUUCUCUGGUUAUCUCUUUAUAUAGAGUUGGAGCUAUAGCAUGUUAUAUCUAAAUCUGGUAGAUCGUUAAGCUCUAGUAUUGUAGGUUGUUAGACCUUAAUCAGGCAGGUUGUUAGGGUGUGAAAUUCCUCACUAAUCUAUAAAUUAAGAUUAUUAGUCGUAGGCAUCAGUUGUUCACGUUCCCAAAGCCAUUGGGAGAUUUCAAUGACCUAAUCUCACCAUUGAGAUUGUUAGUGGCUUGAGGUCAGCAUGGCACUGGGCAUGUGGCCUCAAUUUGAAUCUGAGUAUGGUUGAAUGCAUAAGAGAUCAUAAAUUUUAGGGUAGCAUAGUCUGAUAUCUGGAUCGAUUUCUGAUGAGCUGGUAUCUGUUGUCACUUGAGAUCUUUGAUUUGUACUAUUUUUCUCUAUGCUGGACCCAUGAUAUGAUUUAUGUCACUCCAGUUUUAAGUUGAAGUCCCAACAAUAAGUAUCGAUCAUUUUUAAAAAAUUUUUAUACUAUAUUUAAUAAAAUAAUCUUCCAAUUCAAAAUUUUUCUCGAGUCUAGAUCAAAUGACAAGUUCACCUGUUAAGCUUUGCAAAUGUUACCAUUGAUUCUAUUAUUAAACAUUAAUUUUUUCAGAUCAUAAUACCAUUUUCCAUCAUAAUACCAUUAUGACCCUAACUACUUACUAUUUUGGGAUAAAAAACUUCGAAUAAAAUAAUAAUGAGUAAUUAAUGGCCAUUAUAACAGUUUAGGAUAUCAGGGGGAUCCACGGUUGUAACGGGAUAGAACCCUUCACUGACACUUCACUUGAUGUCUUGAUUCCCCCUCUCCUCCCUUGUGAUCUAACGGCCGUUAGAUCCGUAACACCCCGUGAUAGUUCUCCACGGUCACAUGACGCAUCAUGAGAUGCAGUCAUGCAGUCUCUUCCUCAGUGUACUCACACCCACUCCCUCUCGUUCCCUACUGUCUCUCUUUCCCUCUGAUUCUCUGGCCACCAACCCAACACUCGCGUGAUGCUUAUUCUCAAACACCACCCCAUCCCAUUGCCUUUUAUCUGCCCCUCCUCCCCAUCCCGCCAGAAGAUAGUACCACGAGAACAAAAAAUUAAAGCAAGGGAUUGAGAUGAAGCCUUACCCGGCUCUUUUCGUCUUUAUCCUCUUCUCUUCUUUCCCUCUCUUCUUCGCUUCCAGUGAUGGCGACUUCGAUGCUCUACUGAAGCUCAAAGAUGGGCUGAUAGGUCCCGCCGGCGAUGGCCUCCACGACUGGGACCCCUCCG
rnacentral:lncRNA from 1 species